rnacentral:lncRNA from 1 species
AUACACAGUAAGGAUCCAAAUGGAUAGGUAUCAAGAAAAUAUGCAGUCAAACUCAAUAGCCUCACUGUGAAUAGCCGAUGACAUCAUAGGUCAAAGGAUCACUCACACCACUGUAGCAUUGAGAUAAACACUGACAAAUGAAUAGACAUCUAAAUGGUUUCUCGUAUUGAUCAUGCUUAGUGCAAGUUAUUCUCUAACAACUAUCCGUACUCUCAUCUCAGUAUCCCUACACUAC